rnacentral:rRNA from 1 species
CCUACGGGAGACAGCAGUGGGGAAUAUUGGGCAAUGGGCGCAAGCCUGACCCAGCAACGCCGCGUGAAGGAAGAAGGCUUUCGGGUUGUAAACUUCUUUUAUCAGGGACGGAGCAAGUGACGGUACCUGAUGAAUAAGCCACGGCUAACUACGUUCCAGCAGCCGCGGUAAUACGUAGGUGGCAAGCGUUAUCCGGAUUUACUGGGUGUAAAGGGCGUGUAGGCGGGAGUGCAAGUCAGAUGUGAAAACUAUGGGCUCAACCCAUAGCCUGCAUUUGAAACUGUACUUCUUGAGUGCUGGAGAGGCAAUCGGAAUUCCGUGUGUAGCGGUGAAAUGCGUAGAUAUCAGGAGGAACACCGGUGGCGAAGGCGGCCUGCUGGACUGCAACUGACGUUGAGGCCCGAAAGCGUGGGGAGCAAACAGGAUUAGAUACCCGUGUAGUC